rnacentral:lncRNA from 1 species
UUACAUCACUUCUGUCGUUUCUUGUCCCAUUUCUAUUGACUAAUUUUUAUCCUAGUUAUGGAUCAUAUUUUCUGCUUCUUUGCAGGCUGAGCCAUUUUUUGUUAGAUGCUGGACAUUGUGAACUUUACAUUGUGAAGUACUGAAUUUUUUAUUCCUAUGGAGUAUGCAACUUUAUUCUGGAAGGUAAUUAAGUGACUUUUGGAUCAACUUCAUCUUUUCAAGGUUUGAUUUUACGUGUUUUAAGAGCAUCAUAAGGGGUCCUAUUGGGGAAGAGAAGAAUCGUUGAGUUUCAGCCAAGCUUUAUCUCCUUAUUGAAUCAUAAAAAAUAAUACAGCUGGCCUGGCGCAGUGGCUUAUGCCUAUAAUCCCAGCACUUUGGGAGG